rnacentral:rRNA from 1 species
GGGGGCUGCUCCUAGUACGAGAGGACCGGAGUGGACGCAUCACUGGUGUUCGGGUUGUCAUGCCAAUGGCACUGCCCGGUAGCUAAAUGCGGAAGAGAUAAGUGCUGAAAGCAUCUAAGCACGAAACUUGCCCCGAGAUGAGUUCUCCCUGACCCUUUAAGGGUCCUGAAGGAACGUUGAAGACGACGACGUUGAUAGGCCGGGUGUGUAAGCGCAGCGAUGCGUUGAGCUAACCGGUACUAAUGAACCGUGAGGCUUAACCUU